rnacentral:rRNA from 1 species
GGUGCAGCAGAGGUCAGAAGGGAGGCAAACUGUACUCAUAAUCCACGGUUUGAGGCGAGGUGGUUGGAAGAGGAAGGAUGCAAGGAGCUGGUGAAGAUGGCGUGGGAGAAGGAGACGGCACCCGAAGGUAAAAAGGUAGCAGGGGCAGUUAAAGGAGUUAUGAGGGAGUUGGUUGACUGGAGCAAAAAUGUUUUGGGCGACUUGGAGAAACGCAUAGAUCGGCUAAAAAAGGAUCUGGAAAAGGAGAGAAGGAAGGAUAUUAGUCCAAAACAAGUGAGGCGUGAGCAGAUGCUGCGGUUCAAAUUAAGCCGCUUGGAGGACCAGCUGGAAACAUACUGGAAGCAAAGGGCCCAUGUGAAUUGGAUGCAGGGAGGCGACCGCAACACGAAAUUUUUCCACGAUGCCGCCUCUGAAAGGAGAAGGAGCAAUAGAAUUAAGAGA